CAACUUAACUCCCACCUCAAUCUUAACUUAACUCAUGACCUGAAUUUAAUCCCAAAAUGGGCUUUACAACCAUGAUAGACAGUUCAACUGCUAAGUGAGGCAACUAUUACGAAGACAUGUAAUUUGAUAUGCAAACGAGAUUGCCAUCAACAGCUUGUAAAAUCUAAUAGCUACCACUGUUAUUAUGAAGUGCCUGGUGCUUGAGGCAGCACUCUUGCCCUGCCCGUAAACGCCAUGUCCAGCGGAUUUACUGUCGCCCCACACCAACAGAACCCGUCUACACCUGUAGACAAUGGUCAUCUGCCUCUAGCAGUCCCUUCCUUGCCAAGUUCCUCCAAAACAGCAAUAAAUACUUUACUAAUUGUGUUAGUUUUGCACUAGGACAUAAAAAUCGAUCUCAAACUAUUUCAUCCGAUAUUCAUAAAAUCACGUUCUAAAGUAGUUCCUUCUUAUAGCUUUCCAGACACAGAGUUGAGACACAUAAUAUUACAUUUGCUACUUGUCCAAGCGCUGAUAUAUAUAUAUAUAUAUUAUGACAUUCCACAGCUUACUGAUGUUCAUAAAGCUCAAUGAGAGGAGGUAUACUCCACAACUAGUUUACAUAAUACUCUGCCAGACUCUUACGUUGUGAGUCUUGAGGCAAGACACUAAAACUGGAAUGCCAAUUACUUGGAUAUCAAGCUCCCUCAGCUACAUUCCCAUACAGCAAAAGCACUUGGUUGUAUAUCUAUUCGGUGAGUAGCAUUUGAACAUCAUUGUUCGGAGCUGGGAGCU